rnacentral:piRNA from 1 species
GCAAGCAGUGGUGUACAGACGAAAUGA